rnacentral:rRNA from 1 species
UACGUAGGGUCCGAGCGUUGUUCGGAAUUACUGGGCGUAAAGGGCUCGUAGGCGGCCAACUAAGUCAGACGUGAAAUCCCUCGGCUUAACCGGGGAACUGCGUCUGAUACUGGAUGGCUUGAGAUUGGGAGAGGGAUGCGGAAUUCCAGGUGUAGCGGUGAAAUGCGCAGAUAUCAGGAAGAACACCGAUGGCGAAAGCAGCUCUCUGGGACGGUACUGACGCUGAGGCGCGAAAGCGUGGGGAGCGAACAGG